rnacentral:rRNA from 1 species
UACGUAGGGGGCAAGCGUUGUCCGGAAUCAUUGGGCGUAAAGAGCUCGUAGGCGGCUGUUCAAGUCGAACGUGAAAACUCGGAGCUCAACUCCGAAACUGCGUUCGAUACUGGGUAGCUAGAGUCUGGUAGGGGGAUCUGGAAUUCCUGGUGUAGCGGUGGAAUGCGCAGAGUAUCAGGAGGAACACCGGUGGCGAAGGCGGGAUCCUGGGCCAGUACUGACGCUGAGGAGCGAAAGCGUGGGGAGCAAACAGG